rnacentral:rRNA from 1 species
UUCCUCGAUCGAGUGGCGAACGGGUGAGUAACGCGUGAGGAACCUGCCUCAAAGAGGGGGACAACAGUUGGAAACGACUGCUAAUACCGCAUAAGCCCACGGCUCGGCAUCGAGCAGAGGGAAAAGGAGCAAUCCGCUUUGAGAUGGCCUCGCGUCCGAUUAGCUAGUUGGUGAGGUAACGGCCCACCAAGGCGACGAUCGGUAGCCGGACUGAGAGGUUGAACGGCCACAUUGGGACUGAGACACGGCCCAGACUCCUACGGGAGGCAGCAGUGGGGAAUAUUGCACAAUGGGGGAAACCCUGAUGCAGCGACGCCGCGUGGAGGAAGAAGGUCUUCGGAUUGUAAACUCCUGUUGUUGAGGAAGAUAAUGACGGUACUCAACAAGGAAGUGACGGCUAACUACGUGCCAGCAGCCGCGGUAAAACGUAGGUCACAAGCGUUGUCCGGAAUUACUGGGUGUAAAGGGAGCGCAGGCGGGCGAUCAAGUUGGAAGUGAAAUCCAUGGGCUCAACCCAUGAACUGCUUUCAAAACUGAUUGUCUUGAGUAGUGCAGAGGUAGGCGGAAUUCCCGGUGUAGCGGUGGAAUGCGUAGAUAUCGGGAGGAACACCAGUGGCGAAGGCGGCCUACUGGGCACCAACUGACGCUGAGGCUCGAAAGUGUGGGUAGCAAACAGGAUUAGAUACCCUGGUAGUCCACACCGUAAACGAUGAUUACUAGGUGUUGGAGGAUUGACCCCUUCAGAAGGGCAGUUAACACAAUAAGUAAUCCACCUGGGGAGUA